UACAGAGGCCUCGAGCGUUAGGCGGAAUCACUGGGCUUAAAGCGUGUGUAGGCGGAUCGCUAAGUACCUUGUGAAAUCCCACGGCUCAACCGUGGAACUGCUUGGUAUACUGGCGGUCUUGUGCAACCUAGGGGCGAGCGGAACAGAUGGUGGAGCGGUGAAAUGCGCAGAUAUCAGGAAGAACACCAAUGGCGAAGGCAGCUCUCUGGGACGGUACUGACACUGAGACGCGAAAGCGUGGGGAGCGAACAAG
rnacentral:rRNA from 1 species